AGAGUUUGAUCCUGGCUCAGGAUGAACGCUAGCGGCAGGCUUAACACAUGCAAGUCGAGGGGCAGCGAGUAGAUUGCUUGCAAUCUAUGUCGGCGACCGGCGCACGGGUGCGUAACGCGUAUGCAACCUACCCAUUACAGGGGGAUAACACUGAGAAAUCGGUACUAAUACCCCAUAACAUCCAGGGAGGCAUCUUCUUGGGUUGAAAACUCCGGUGGUAAUGGAUGGGCAUGCGUUGUAUUAGUUAGUUGGUGGGGUAACGGCUCACCAAGACGACGAUACAUAGGGGGACUGAGAGGUUAACCCCCCACAUUGGUACUGAGACACGGACCAAACUCCUACGGGAGGCAGCAGUGAGGAAUAUUGGUCAAUGGACGCAAGUCUGAACCAGCCAUGCCGCGUGCAGGAAGACGGCUCUAUGAGUUGUAAACUGCUUUUGUACGAGGGUAAACGCAGAUACGUGUAUCUGUCUGAAAGUAUCGUACGAAUAAGGAUCGGCUAACUCCGUGCCAGCAGCCGCGGUAAUACGGAGGAUUCAAGCGUUAUCCGGAUUUAUUGGGUUUAAAGGGUGCGUAGGCGGUCGGAUAAGUUAGAGGUGAAAUCCCGGGGCUCAACUUCGGAAUUGCCUCUGAUACUGUUCGGCUAGAGAGUAGUUGCGGUAGGCGGAAUGUAUGGUGUAGCGGUGAAAUGCUUAGAGAUCAUACAGAACACCGAUUGCGAAGGCAGCUUACCAAGCUACUUCUGACGUUGAGGCACGAAAGCGUGGGGAGCAAACAGGAUUAGAUACCCUGGUAGUCCACGCAGUAAACGAUGAUAACUCGUUGUCGGCGAUACAAUGUCGGUGACUAAGCGAAAGCGAUAAGUUAUCCACCUGGGGAGUACGUUCGCAAGAAUGAAACUCAAAGGAAUUGAC
rnacentral:rRNA from 1 species